AUUCUGGCUCAGGAUGAACGCUAGCGGCAGGCUUAACACAUGCAAGUCGAGGGGCAUCGGGAGUAGCAAUACUUGCCGGCGACCGGCGCAAGGGUGCGUAACGCGUGAGCAACAUGCCCGUAUCAGGGGGAUAAUCCAUGGAAACGUGGUCUAAUACCCCAUAGUAAUUAUGUAAGGCAUCUUAUAUAAUUUAAAGCUUUGGUGGAUACGGAUUGGCUCGCGUGACAUUAGCAGGAUGGUAAGGUAACGGCUUACCAUGGCUACGAUGUCUAGGGGUUCUGAGAGGAAGGUCCCCCACACUGGAACUGAGACACGGUCCAGACUCCUACGGGAGGCAGCAGUGAGGAAUAUUGGACAAUGGAUGGAAAUCUGAUCCAGCCAUGCCGCGUGCAAGGAAGACGGCCCUAUGGGUUGUAAACUGCUUUUGUAUGGGAGCAAUAAGGGCUACGUGUAGUCCGAUGAGAGUACCAUACGAAUAAGCACCGGCUAACUCCGUGCCAGCAGCCGC
rnacentral:rRNA from 1 species